AGGAUCUGGGCGAGCGGGCUCAGUGUCGCAUAGAGUUUCCGGGGGAAAAUUGUAUUGUAGCAAACUUUAUGGUUUUCUGUGAAUAGCUUCCACCUCUUAUUCAGACGGCGAGUGGCGCAGCUUUCGUGAAAGUUCUGGUUGUUCCCGGAACACAAAAUGCAAGGGAGUAGGCAGGGUAACGACUGAGAAGAACAAGGAGAGAGCGGGGAAAAAAGAAAGAGAAAGAAAGAAGGAAAGAAAUUUGGAGAAACCGUCGAUUCGUUCAAUACUUGGCGGAUCCCCCAUUGUAGCUAUCUGCCAGUUGGGCAGAGGAAGGUCAACAAACGCAAGAACAUCUACGAUGAAUGUAAGCGAGUAACCGAACGCUUCUAGGAAGUUAAACACUUUAUUGAAGCAAUUACGCGCUUGAAUGCGUGUAUUUGUUGUAGCGAGAAUGUUUAGGUAGCGUUUGAUGUUUCAUUGCGUCGUUAUGUUGAGAAUAGAGCCACUAUGCAUCGGCGCCGUUUUAUCGGCGGUGAAAGACCAACCUCCGGCGAUCAACUACCAACCAUGAAAACGGGUGAAGGAUCGAGCCAAGGAAAACUAUUGGCAUGAAGUAAACAAUGGUAGCACUUGCACCCGUUUCGCCGAAUCUCCGGUAGCCACCCUAUCUCCGGUGGUGCUAGCGGGCUGUCCGUAGGGUGCGCGCUACCGUUGGGCGGUGACAAAUAGUCAGUCAGAAACGUCCUGCGAUUGAUUAUAUGGUUUGUUACUCCGUGAAGCAUGUGUAGUCACGAGUAAGUCAGAUGAUGCAUCAAGCAUGUUCUGUACAGAGUGAAUAAAUCUGAAUAGACUUGGCAAACAGUUCAUGGAACUGAAGCAACAAUAACAGUAUUGAAAUCAUAUUCAUCGGGUGCAACGCUCACACAGUGUGUCUGCUAUGCUUUGUUGUUGCAGCAGGCAAGCUCCACCGAGGAGGAGGCCACUGCCGCCCGCGUGCCUCUCCCGACAGACCCACCCCAUGUGUCCGUGGGCACAGAGCCGGGGACGAGCGACACUGCACAACCAUCAGCUCAGCAGGAGCCACUAGAGGAUGCGGCCUGCAGGGCAGCAUCUGAAAACGCCAGGCAGGGGCAGCUGGCGGAGGCAGCAAAUGUGGAGGCAGUCAGGUUCCACCGGAUGCUGCUUGAUCAAAACAGGCAGCAUCAUCAACAACUGGUGGAGGAGCUGAGGGCCUCCCGCGCGGUGCAGCAGCAGCUGGCGGUGGAGAUGAGGGGCUUGCGGGAGGCGACCGCCCUCAUCGCAGCCACCUUGCGCCAGCUCGUGGCUGCCAUCGCCCAUGGCCUUCGUGAGCCGCCUCAGCCGUAGUGGUGACAGAUGGCACCAUUACAUGUUUUUUUAAUAUGCUGUGACUUUUUCGUUUAAUAUGUUGCAUUUCGCAGAAUGUAUAAUUUAUUGUAUUUUUUUUUGUGAUGCGUAGUUUCACUUGCUGAGCAAGUUUGUCUCAGUGAGAAUGGCAGUGAGUGAACUGUAUGUCUAAUGCUUCAUCCUUUUAGUUAGGUGUGUGUGCUUUCGUUUUGCUGUUUAUGCGCUAUUUAAGUAUUUGCUGCUUUUAAAGGAACAUGUUGACUAUGUGGUCACUUUUAUUUUAGCCACAACAGUGUUUCACACACAAAAGCUGUGAUAUUGUAUUGAAAUCCACUGUUAUAAUUUUCAUGCUAUAUGUAUGUCAUGUUUCCAAUUUCAAUUUUUUUUGCCCUAUGGAAGGCACAAGUAGCCAUAUUAUUAUUUCUUUUAGCAACAAGUGCGUGUUACUUGCAAAAGUUAUUGUGAUAUAUUAGGUUACCAUAUCAGUGAUAGCAAUGUAAUCUUGUUCCCAUUGUUGUAGAGAACAAUUUUUGAUACACCCAAUGUAGCCAUCGAUGUAGCCAUUGUUUUACAACAUUCACUGCCAGGCUGUUCUUGUUGGAAUUUUAUAUGGCAGAUUAUCAAAGUGCACAGUAUUUUUUCACGUGUGUCAUUCUUUAAAAGCGCGUGACUGCACUUUCACACUGGUGGUCUUAUUAUGGCACUAGUAAUUAAAUAUAGCAUCUAUUUUGUGCUACAAACAUGGCGGAUGCAUAACAGGCAAGACUUGCAACACCUUUUGUGCUGUGAAGUUGCUGGGUGAACGCGAAUGGUUGUGGAUGAGCCCAAAGAAAAACAUUACCAAAGUCAGACAUUUCUGUGAUUUAAUGUGUGCCAGGGGCCUUUCAUAAUGUAUUAGAUCCCAUUUAGUGGAAACCGUACUAUCACUUUGGCACCGAAAAAUACCCUGUGUACAUUGAUUUGUAUCAUGAUGACUGUUAUUCGCUUUGAAUAAACAUGACACUGAAGAUGUGUUGCAAUUAUUCAUUUACUGUGGGGACGUGAAGAAACGAGUUUCAAGAGCAUCACUGUCACUUGAUAUGACUAUUUACAAAUAUAUGUACAAUUAUACAACUAUUUACAAAUGAAUACACAUCCAAGGGAGCAUCAGGUGCUUGACAUGCCAGGCAAUGUGUGUCAGCACGACUUGGCCUGUUGAAAAGAAACUGUGCGGAGGCUGUGUGGCAAAGCUGUGGAGGGACUGCAAGGUGUGCGAGAACAGUACAUAUGGUGGUGCGAAAAGUGUUGUGCUUUGCUGCAGCCCAAGCAGGAAGUGAGGAGACGAAGUCCAAUAUCCUCCCAUGCACAGUGCAGACGGCGGUGACAGUGGCGGUGAUGCCAGUAGAUAAAUGCAUCAAGGUGACAGUAGCAGCAGCAGCAAU